AGUAAAAAUUGAACAAAAAAUACUAAUUACACAAGCUUACAAAUUCAAAAAAUAUUUUCAACCCCAGGAGAUUAGAACAAUUCGUAACAAUACAUGACCUGCUCGGUCUGAACAUUUAAUACGACCGGCAAUAUGCUGUCAUAACGAUUGUUAAAUAGUAAAACGUGAUAAGUGCAAAUAUCCUGUAAACUUCAACUCAGCACCUGACUUUCAUUGGUGAUUUGAAUUUGAAGAUACUGCAUACAGAAGCAGAAAUCAGGUACUUGGACCGUUCUUCAAAAAUUUUCUUGUAACAACAUGAAUGGUCUAUUUAAUACUGUGAAUACACAAUAUAAUCGAAAUGAAUGACGGUUGUUUCUUGAUGGUUCCAAAUACAGUCUUAAAAGCUUCUCUGCUCCACAAUAGAUGUAAAAAAAUCUAGUCCGUUUGUUCAUACUCUGCAAAUGAAGACAAAGCGGAAGAACUAGUUCUAUAUCAAAUACAAUGACCAUGAGUGUAGAAAAUGUGACAAUUAAUCAUUAUCAUCUUAACAGGAGAUUUGUCGCUGGAUCGGGAUGAAAUUGGAAUUUAACAAAUUUUGCUGUUUUUAUUGAUUAUGGAACUGUCGCGGUCUGGACAUCAUUAUCGGAGAAAAGAUUAUCAUAGAAACUAAUUUUGGUUGGCCAUGUUCCAAACCAUGCAAAUCAAUGGCUAUCAUCAAUUUAAACAAGUAUACUUGCAUGUUACGAAGAUCUUUUUUAUUACCAUGAUACAAACUUAAGAACACAAUUGGAUUCUUAAAAAUAAACUGAAUUUGUCUGUUAUCGCGCUUAAAUUAUCCAUGCACAUUUCGGUUAGUUUUUCGUGUAAUAGUAUAAAAAAAUAAAUAUUGUAAAUAUUUGUAAUAAGACUUAGGGAAAAAAUGUGUGAGUGAAAAAUUACGCAUGUACUGAUUUGUUGUCUUUUUCGAUAGCUCCUAGGGAAAAUACUAAAUAUAGACACCCUUGUUUGUGCCCGA